UUAAUACAGGUUUGGAAUCAAUCGAGGAGAGGCUUCCUCCUUCCUUCGCAAAAGGAGCUUCGUGAGAUUUCGCCGCUUGCCACUAGAAGAUUAAAGGGGGAAUCUCUAGUAAUCGAUCGCAUGCCCUUCGCUAUUUGCCUACCACGCUUUUCCCCUGCGGCAGCUACAAUUUCCAACGUCUAGCUGUAAUCCAUUGCAACUGCAUUCCAUUCUUCCCGGCCACGUUUGUAGCCCGAAUUUACUUUCGCGCGAUGAUGACUGCAUUGGAAGCGUUUGCCUUUCGUCCCGCAAUAGUCGCCGAGAGCGCUUCGUCGAAGCUGAAGGGCCUCGCGGAACGCCUCUAAUUCCGAAAUCCGUUUUCGAGCGCAAUAAAGAGAGCGCAAAGGCUAUUUGCGAUAAGGUUUAACGUUUGCCAAUUGAUAGCAACCGAUAACGAUAAGUUAUCGAGCGAGCGGCCGAGUAUCGAGCGGUCAUGAAAAAGAGACCUCAAUCGUCGUGAAAUCGUCGUCGAGUAAGCCGUAGAGACAGCGUGAGAAAUGCAGUAAAUUGCGUCGAAAGAUAACACAUUCACGUGUUCAGAUAAUUCAUUCAUUGUUACGAUAUCGCGAAUGUCAAAAACUUUUUAAUAUAUACGCCGUCUACAAAUCGAAUUCUGAAGCAACAGGGAUUCUGGAAGAUCCAAAGACAGGGAUCCCCCGGAGAUUGGAUGGUAGAUUAGAGGGAAAAAUAGGAUUAUCGAAAAUCGUUUAAGGAUCCCGACAAUCGAAGAAUCGCUACAAUGGCUGAAAGAACGCCGGUGGCUGACAGUGAAAAAGUGAAAGAAAUCGCGCCCGAUAAGACGCAAGAGGUCGACGCCAUUUUGUCGGCGGGGACAUCGGUUGACACGGAAGACGGAAGCGAAAUUAAAAGUCGAGUCAAGAGGAACAUCAUCACUGUGCCGGAACGAAAGGUCGAGAUCGAGAAAAACGGAAAGAAGUAUCGCCGCGAUGCGAAUGGACAAUGGAGGCCCGUAUUGUAUUGAUUAACGUUUCACACGAUAUGAGCGGUGUCAUCCUACAAACGUCGCAGUGAAAUAUCGUAACAACGCGUGACGAGAGAUUGGCCAAGCUAUUCAUCCCGCUUUGCAUUAUCGGAGAAACGAAAUAUUUCACCAUAAAAUGCAAUUACCAAUAUAUGUGAAUUAUUUAUUCAUUGUAUUAGUGUUACUAAUUACGCGGUAAUUUGUGGCAUCGAUAUAAUCUGAGGUCCCAAUUUAUCGUAAAUAAGAUACAUUUUCUAAUAUGCUUAUGUUUUUUUUGCACUUGUAAAAUGAAAACCAUGUAUAUAUGUACGUCAGCAAAGUCUAGCAAUAAAUAGAAAAAAAACCUCAUAGUUGUAUGUUUCUACAAACCGCACGUCACUAUGUAUAUUGAAAUUUAAAUGACAAAUGGAUUCGGACAAUCAAAUUUGGACUGAUUUUUCUUUAAUAGACGUUUAGUAAUCAUUCCUACUCUGUAUAGAAAAAAAGUUACAGCAAGUAUUACUAAAUAAAGUGUUAUUAAUGGCUGUGUAUGCCUAUCAGUUCUAUUUGCAACACGUUCUUCUUUAGGUCAGCCAUGUUAUCAGAUUUUGACAUUUAUUGGUCUAAAUCUCUAAAUAUAACGGCGGUGUUGUGAGCAUAAAAUAAACGUGCAGCAGUCAAUCUUGAUGCCGAACGGGCGGCAUUAAAAAUAUGAAAGUAUAUACAAGCCUAUAUAUCGUUAUCUGUCUUUCCAUCUUUCCAUUCAGAUAUAAAGUUAUUUACUGACAUGUAUAGUGGCCUGUUUUUUAUCGAUCGACAUAAGAUAUAUUAUUUUUAAAGACAUCUUUUAACCGUGUCAAGGCCGAUGUUAGUCUGUCACGUUAGUCUGUAGACUGGCAGGGUUAUAGCGUCUCGCGCGGGUACAAGUCAUAAGAAAUGAUAUGUAUGCGAAGCUGAGCACUUUGUAUGUUAUUUCAACGUGCAUAUUAUAAUAUUUAUAACAGUUUGUUAGAGAGUUGUGCGAACGCUCCACUUGUAUUUAAAUUUUCGCAGACGUUUACACGCGGAGAAAAUGACGGGACGCUGUAACUACGUUCAUUAAUUAACGACAUUGAUAUUAGUAAACUUCGAUUGCAACAAUUAUAGCGCGAUCUUUAAUCUGCACGAUUUUAAUUUUUAUUGUAACGAAGCGAAGUGCACGGUCGGAAGAUAACAUCUAAAUAUAAAUAAGGAACACGCAAUAGCGCGCGAAGCGGUAAAAUACUCGCUGAGAUAAGUAGAGUAAAGAAGCAGGUGGGAGCGUCUAAAAGGAGGGAGGGAGACGUCUAAAGCGAGAGGAGGGUUUGAAAAUUUCUUAGAUUUUCACGUAAGUUACGAAGAGACGUCAAGAGUCAAGAGACGUCAAGAGAAGAGAACCGAGAAAGAGAAAUGAAGAACUUCAUCGGUAUUUUGCUAAUACUUGCGACAGUGAUGUUAACCGUGAUAUCACCGACAGUCAGUCGAGAGAAUAAGAAUAUAACAUAUCCAAAUUUGGACUUUAUUCCACGUCUACGUCCGACUAGUGUUGUAGACGCACCCAUAAGAACAACUGCAAACCCCUGUCCGGAAGGUCAGAGACCUGAUUCCAGAGGAACAUGUCGCAUAGUUAUAUAACGAUCGAGAAAACACAGGCUUGUGGAUAUCAACAUUUCAGCAAUAUCAGCUAAAAGCGAGACCCGAAAAUAUCAACGGCAAUGAUAUAACAUACAUAAGGGUGAAAAUAUUCUGUAUUUUGCAGGACUUCGUAGAACUUUAAUAAAUUUAUAUUGUAGUUAAUUUUAAUUGCAUUAUGCGUUGUAAAAUUAUGCGUGAAUAUAAUUGACUAAUAUAUAUCUGAUAACAAUAUUUAGGAAAUCUCGCGCGCGUAUGAGUUUCUCACAGUCCAGCAUAUAAUUUACUUUAUUAUAUUAUACAGAAAAUUAAAUUAAAUUACAUUUUCUCGUAACCGGUAAUUCGCACAAAAUACUAAAAGGACAAUUGUUGGUUUAAAAAGGAAUGCAAUUUGUCAAGUAUGUAAACAGAAUGAGUUAUCCUGUUUCAUUAUAUAUUCUGUCGCAUUAUUUUAUCUUGUUACAACGCUUUUUUUUAGAUUUCCGUUUUAUCAUCUAAGGUCGUCUUUAGUUGAUCCUAAAAUGUAAUCGCGUGUCGAGGGUAUAUAAUAUUUUUCUGCAGUACUACAAAAAAUAUUAGAUGAUUGUAUACGUUUUCACGUUGCAGUUUACAUUCACAUUCAUUUGUCGAUUUGUAUGCUGGAUCGUCGCAGGCUUUGUUUCACGACCGUUGUCGCUGCACAUACUUGACACACAUCGCGACUCACGAAUCUCAAAAGACCGGAGAAAAAGAGAGGCAGAGAAAGAGAGAAACACGGUUGAAGAAAUAAGUAAAAAUGGACUUCUUUAAAUACACGUUUGAUAAAGAGAAA